CCUCCUGUCGACUCUUAUAUUUUUCUUUUAAUGCAACCUUUGAUGCAACUCGAACAUUCCAUCCAAGCCCUUUCACAUUCAAACUCCUCGGCCCGAAAGCUCCACCUCCUUGCAUGACAGUGCUAAACAUUUACAGUAAACGGCUGCGUCCCGUUUAAGAAAGGGGCGGCGGCUGGGACGGUAUUUGAGCUGACAACAUAGCGGUAGAGCGUCAGUUUCGAGUCCGUCGUUGUCCAAAGUGUACUGAAGUCACACGCGGAGGAGUACCGUCUUGUUGGAGGAAUUAAUUUAUUAGUAUCUGCUCAUUAUCUGUUCCGCUGUCUGACGAAGAACUCUCUAGAAGCAUGGCCGUCCAGCAUAAGGGCGCAAGCCAUGAUCUGCCCUCCCCAAACGGGGUGUCGGUCGCGGAGCACGUCGACAUGGAGAACACCAGGGAGCUGAGCCUGAUGAGGGCCUUCGCCCAGCGGAGACGCCCCGUAAGCACAAGACCGGUCGCCCUGGGCAACGGGACGUCGGCUAACGGGCCAGCUGCGGUUCCUCCUUCCUCUGUGGAGGAAGAAGAACCCAAGAAAAAGAAGAAGAAGAAGAAUUUCCUGAAACGACUCCGUGAGUUAAUCUCAUGUGUACCCAGGGGUGCUGAAGCAGACGACGGAGAACCAGCUGGGCCGGGCUUCAGGAACAGUGGCGUGUCCCCGGGGGAAAUAGAGAAGUUGGCGGGCCUGUUGCUCAGGCAAUGCGGCGACACGGUGGAACAGGAUUAUGACUGCGCCAAGAAGUUCACGGAGAUGCUGAGCAGCUACAGCAUGUUCGGCAAAUUGAUGUCCAAGAUCUUCCUCAAGAUCGGCCUCCCGACCAACGACCCUGGGGACCGGGGACCCAAGGGUUCAGACGAGAUCCAGACCAACAUUGCUGUCACCUGCGAGGUGGCCACUAGGCUGUCUGCUAUGGACACCCAUCCAAUGAACCGCGCUCUCGGGUUCGGUGCUCGGUACCUGAAAGAGCACUAUCCUCUGGAGGAAGCGUUGAAUGCAGACGAGGACCAAGAUAUUGACACGGACGUCGAGUGAGAGACGGGUCUCUUUGUUGGUUUGAGGGUGACAACUUUUAUACCACUACCAAGUGGCAGUGCCAAGAUCACAAGGAACACAUCACAGUAUGCAAGACUUUUUAAGUUAAUUUCUCAGGGAAAGAGAAUGAGAAAUGUGCCAAUGGGAUUGUCCUAAUUUUGCACAAAAAAAUGGCAACCUCUUGUGUUUAGUUUAGUCUUUCUAGUGCCAUGAUCCAAAAAAAGAAGCUGCUUGUUGUCCUUUACACUGAGGUAAUCUAAUAUGGUUAUCUAACCAAAUUAUCUUAUGUUGAGAUAAUAUUAUUUGGUUGUGAAGUGGCCAAAAUCCUGGCCAUCCAUUAGUUAUCGUUAUUUAACCAUGUAUUUUUGAAUCUUUAUGUGAAGAGAGUGUGCUGGAAUGAAUAGCUUCUCUAUUCUGAACGAUAACUUACCAGUGGUCACUCCAAAGCAAUAGCUUUGGGAAGGAGUGUUAUCAAUGUACAUUUUUUUGCUAUUGAAACCGAUUUACCCAUAGCAAUGACUCUUGGUCACUUUUGUGUCAACAGUUUUACUAUAUAUGGGAAUAAAUCUGAUUUUCAUCUCCCGGUUAUUCUUUGUUGAUUAUUUGGCUGUGUGUAACAUUGAAAUAGCUGUUAAACUCUGAAAUGAUUGUGCCUCAUCAAAAUCCCCUGCUGAAAGAGUCAUCGCUCACGCAAAUUAGUUUUCCUCUGUAAAGUAUGAGCAAUAAAACCAAACGGGGAACAAGGUGUAACUCCCUUCAGCUUCUGUGGUCAGGCGCAGGCUCUGUGCUUUCUCCCUCCCAGGUGUUCUGCUAGAUCAAAGCACAACUGCAGGUUGCGAGAUUAGUAUCUUGAUGGCUGUGAUACUUUCUUUGAAGACUGUUGUUCCAACUGUUGACCAGUUUUUGCUUGAUUAUUAGAGGCACUGCCAAAUGGUUACCAAGCUGACCUGCCUCUCAGGACUCAACAGCAGUGUUUCCCCAGGAUUUUU
ensembl:lncRNA